UGGGGAAUUUUGGACAAUGGGCGAAAGCCUGAUCCAGCAAUGCCGCGUGUGUGAAGAAGGCCUUCGGGUUGUAAAGCACUUUUGUCCGGAAAGAAAUCCUUGGCUCUAAUACAGUCGGGGGAUGACGGUACCGGAAGAAUAAGCACCGGCUAACUACGUGCCAGCAGCCGCGGUAAUACGUAGGGUGCAAGCGUUAAUCGGAAUUACUGGGCGUAAAGCGUGCGCAGGCGGUUUGCUAAGACCGAUGUGAAAUCCCCGGGCUCAACCUGGGAACUGCAUUGGUGACUGGCAGGCUAGAGUAUGGCAGAGGGGGGUAGAAUUCCACGUGUAGCAGUGAAAUGCGUAGAGAUGUGGAGGAAUACCGAUGGCGAAGGCAGCCCCUGGCAAUACUGACGCUCAUGCACGAAAGCGUGGGGAGCAAACAGGAUUAGAUACCCUGGUAGUCCACGCCCUAAACGAUGUCAACUAGUUGUUGGGGAUUCAUUUCCUUAGUAACGUAGCUAACGCGUGAAGUUGACCGCCUGGGGAGUACGGUCGCAAGAUUAAAACUCAAAUGAAUUGACGGGGUCAUAGCUGUUUCCU
rnacentral:rRNA from 1 species